rnacentral:tRNA from 1 species
AGGGAUAUAGCUCAGUUGGUAGAGUGCUUGCUUUGCAUGCACAAGGCCCUGGGUUCAAUUCCUAGCACCACAA